AAUCAACGCUGGCGGCGUGCCUCAGACAUGCAAGUCGAACGAUUAAGACUCUCUUCGGAGAGUGUAUAAAGUGGCGCACGGGUGAGUAACACGUAGGUAAUGUACCGAGGGGUGGGGAAUAACUUAGGGAAACUUAAGCUAAUACCGCAUAAUGCAGCGGCUCGACAUCGAGACAGUUGUUAAAGGAGCAAUCCGCCUUUUGAGCAGCCUGCGGCAGAUUAGCUAGUUGGUAAGGUAAUGGCUUACCAAGGCUACGAUCUGUAACCGACCUGAGAGGGUGGUCGGUCACACUGACACUGAAUAACGGGUCAGACUCCUACGGGAGGCAGCAGUCGGGAAUUUUGGGCAAUGGGCGAAAGCCUGACCCAGCAACGCCGCGUGAAGGAUGAAGUAUUUCGGUAUGUAAACUUCGUAAGAAUAGGAAGAAUAAAUGACGGUACUAUUUGUAAGGUCCGGCUAACUACGUGCCAGCAGCCGCGGUAAU
rnacentral:rRNA from 1 species